GUGUAUAUGGCUUUAGCCUAAGUUAUUUUGCAACAAUAAUGAUAGAAAAAUUUUCUUAUACAUU
rnacentral:tRNA from 1 species